rnacentral:tRNA from 1 species
UCCUCCUUAGCUCAGUCGGUAGAGCACCUGACUGUUAAUCAGGGCGUCGUUGGUUCAAGUCCAACAGGGGGAG